rnacentral:rRNA from 1 species
GAUGAACGCUGACAGAAUGCUUAACACAUGCAAGUCAUUGGCGAAGCUGCGCUUGCGCAGUCUAGCCAAGGCGGACGGGUGAGUAACGCGUCAGGAACUUGCCCUGCAGACAGGGAUAACAGACGGAAACGACUGAUAACACCUGGUCUUGUCAGGCUGGCGCAUGCCGGCCUGAUGAAAGGAGACGCUGCAGGAGAGCCUUGCGUCCUAGUAGCUAGUUGGUGGGGUAACGGCCCACCAAGGCGAUGAUAGGUAGCCGGCCUGAGAGGGUGAACGGCCACAAGGGGACUGAGAUACGGCCCUUACGCAUACGGGAGGCAGCAGUGGGGAAUAUUGGACAAUGGGGGCAACCCUGAUCCAGCAAUUCUGUGUGCACGAAGAAGGUUUUCGGAUUGUAAAGUGCUUUCAGCAGGGAAGAAGAAAGUGACGGUACCUGCAGAAGAAGCGACGGCUAAAUACGUG